UGGCGAUGGCGGCGGUGUGGCGGGCGCUUUGCCGGGCCGGGCCGCGCGCGGGGAGGCGGAGACUGGUGAAUUCUCCUCUGCCAGUUGCUGUUCCUAAGCUUAGUUAUCACUUUGCAUCAUCUCACAAGUAUGUUCCCAGACGAGCUGUCCUGUAUGUACCUGCGGAUGAUGAAAAAAAGAUACGAAAAAUCCCUUCACUGAAUGUAGAUUGUGCAGUGCUGGACUGUGAAGAUGGUGUGGCUCUGAACAGAAAG